rnacentral:rRNA from 1 species
AUUGAACGCUGGCGGCAGGCCUAACACAUGCAAGUCGAGCGGAUGAAGGGAGCUUGCUCCUGGAUUCAGCGGCGGACGGGUGAGUAAUGCCUAGGAAUCUGCCUGGUAGUGGGGGAUAACGUCCGGAAACGGGCGCUAAUACCGCAUACGUCCUGAGGGAGAAAGUGGGGGAUCUUCGGACCUCACGCUAUCGGAUGAGCCUAGGUCGGAUUAGCUAGUUGGUGGGGUAAAGGCCUACCAAGGCGACGAUCCGUAACUGGUCUGAGAGGAUGAUCAGUCACACUGGAACUGAGACACGGUCCAGACUCCUACGGGAGGCAGCAGUGGGGAAUAUUGGACAAUGGGCGAAGGCCUGAUCCAGCCAUGCCGCGUGUGUGAAGAAGGUCUUCGGAUUGUAAAGCACUUUAAGUUGGGAGGAAGGGCAGUAAGUUAAUACCUUGCUGUUUUGACGUUACCAACAGAAUAAGCACCGGCUAACUUCGUG